AUUGAACGCUGGCGGCAUGCCUUACACAUGCAAGUCGAACGGUAACAGGUCUUCGGAUGCUGACGAGUGGCGAACGGGUGAGUAAUACAUCGGAACGUGCCCAAUCGUGGGGGAUAGCUCGGCGAAAGCCGGAUUAAUACCGCAUACGAUCUACGGAUGAAAGCAGGGGACUCGCAAGAGCCUUGCGCGAAUGGAGCGGCCGAUGGCAGAUUAGGUAGUUGGUGGGGUAAAGGCUCACCAAGCCGACCAUCUGUAGCUGGUCUGAGAGGACGACCAGCCACACUGGGACUGAGACACGGCCCAGACUCCUACGGGAGGCAGCAGUGGGGAAUUUUGGACAAUGGGCGAAAGCCUGAUCCAGCAAUGCCGCGUGCAGGAUGAAGGCCUUCGGGUUGUAAACUGCUUUUGUACGGAACGAAAAG
rnacentral:rRNA from 1 species